rnacentral:rRNA from 1 species
AUUGAACGCUGGCGGAAUGCUUUACACAUGCAAGUCGAACGGCAGCACGGACUUCGGUCUGGUGGCGAGUGGCGAACGGGUGAGUAACAUAUCGGAACGUAUCCAAUAAUGGGGGAUAACUAAUCGAAAGGUUGGCUAAUACCGCAUACGCCCUACGGGGGAAAGCAGGGGAUCUUCGGACCUUGCGUUAAUGGAGCGGCUGAUAUCUGAUUAGCUAGUUGGUGAGGUAAAGGCUCACCAAGGCGACGAUCAGUAGCUGGUCUGAGAGGACGACCAGCCACACUGGAACUGAGACACGGUCCAGACUCCUACGGGAGGCAGCAGUGGGGAAUUUUGGACAAUGGGCGCAAGCCUGAUCCAGCCAUUCCGCGUGAGUGAAGAAGGCCUUCGGGUUGUAAAGCUCUUUCGCAAGGGAAGAAAACUUACUUUCUAAUAAAGAGUGAGGUUGACGGUACCUUGAUAAGAAGCACCGGCUAACUACGUGCCAGCAGCCGCAUAA